rnacentral:lncRNA from 1 species
CUUGGAGUAAAUGCUGCAGCUGCAAGCACCGCUGGCAGGUAUUCUUGGGGCAAAGGCGAAAAGGGUUAAACAGAGUUAUCAUAUGACUUAGUAAUUCCACAAUUCCACCUAAGAGUAUUGAGAACAUAUGUCCACACAAAAACUUGUACCUGAAUGUUCAUAGCAACUUUAUUCGUUAUAGUCAAAAAGUGGAAACAACCCAAAUGUCCGUCAACUAAUGAAUGGAUAAACAAAAUAGCAUAACCACUCUGAGGUAUAUCCGCACAACAGAAUAUUAUUGCACAAUAAAAAGGAAUGAAGUGCUGAUACGUACUACAACAUGGAUGAUCCCUGAAAACAUUAUACUAAAAAAGAAAUCCCAUUCCAGUAGGUAUAGCUAAAAAUAAAUAAAUACACAAAACAUUAUCUUUAAUGAAAGAAGCCAGUCACAAAAGGUCACAUGGUGUAUGAUUCAGUUUAUAUUAAAUGUCCAGAAUAGGAAACUCUGUAGAGGUGGAAAAUAGAUUAGCAGUUGUCAAGGGCUGUAGGGAGGGGGAAUUGGUAGUGACUGCUAAUGGAUACAGGAGUGAUGAGAAUGUUCUGAAAUUAAAUGGUAAUAGUUGAAUGAAUUUAUGAAUAUACUAAAAAACACUGCAUUGUACACUUUAAAAGAUACAUUAUACACUUUAAAAGGUGAGUCUUAUAGGAUUUUAUGAGAUUUUAUGAAAUUUGAAUCAUAUCUCAAUUUUUUUAAAAGUGUUUAUUGGAUUUCUGAGACUCGGGUGUUGUUAGUGGCCUUGUAGAGGAAUGUUAGUGGUCAAAGGCAGCUGGCAGUGGACCAAAGAAUGAGUGGGAAGUGAAGAAUAGUGAGUGUAUACAAUUCUUUCAAGAAGGUUAGGUGAGAAGAACAGGGCAGUAGCUGAGAGAGAUAAAAGGUCAAAGAAUAUUCUGGUUUUGUUUGUGGUGCUGAUGGCAGAAACUUAAGUAGGUUAAAAUGCUAAUGGAGGCUGGGCGUGGUGGCUCACUCCUAUAAUCCUAGCACUUUGGGAGGCCAAGGUGGUCAGAUUGCUUGAGCUCAGUAGUUCGAGAUUAGCCUGGGCAACAUGGUGAGACCCCUUCUCUACAAAAUAUACAAAAAUUAGCUGGGCAUGCUGGUGCCUGUUGUCCCAGCUACUUGAGGGGCUGAGGUGGGAGGAUGGCUUGAGCUUGGGAGGUCGAGGAUGCAGUGAGCUGUAAUCACGCCACUGCCCUCCAGUGGACCAAGAUCAAAUAAUCAGCUUUGCUAAUUUGUUGUUGUUGUUGUUGUUUGAGAUGGAGUCUCGCUCUGUUGCCCAGGCUGGAGUGCAAUGGUGAGAUCUCGGCUCACUGCAACCUCUGCCUCCCAGGUUCAAGUGAUUCUUCUGCCUCAGCCUCCCGAGUAGCUGGGAUUACAGGCACUCACCAUCAUGCCCGGCUAAUUUUUGUAUUUUUGCAUAGAUGGGGUUUUACCAUGUUGGCCAGGCUGGUCUGGAACUCUUGACUUCAGGUGAUCCGCCCACCUCAGCGACCCAAAGUGCUGGGAUUACAGGCUUGAACCACCGUGCCCGGCCCACUUUGCUAAUUCUUAAAACAUUUAAAGCUAAACUUCAAGGAGUGUGAAAAGGUGGUUAGGGUAUCCAUAAACAACCUGGUGCUGGGGCACAUCUGACCCUGGGGAGGAAUUAAGUGGCUCAGUGGUCCUGUGGCUGAGAGGCAUGGCCAGCAGGGACUCUGACAGUCACCUUUUUUCUUCCUUCAAUGAAUCUCCAGGUUAGAAGGUGAAGGAAGUUAUUUGCAGCAUCAAUGGCAAUUUCUUUUCCACCUCCACCUGUAACAGCCAAGGCGCAGGACACUGAAGAAAAGAAGCAAAGAGGCCUGAUGCUUCUGGCGAAUCAGUUGGAAGAAGAAUCACAUCUAAAGUAGACAAGAUAUCCACUGUCUACACACACACACAAACACACAACUCUUUAACUAAAUUCACAUUUGUAUCUGGUGUUUCCAUGCGAUAGUGGCUUAACUGAUAAUUUUGUAACACAAACAUGGAGGUCAUAGAGGCUUUCAAUAAUAGAGCUAAGGACUCAUAUUUCCUAUGCUUUUAAAAUUAUCGUUUUAGGCUGGGCACAGUGGCUCACGCCUGUAAUCCCAGCACUUUGGGAGGCUGAGGUGAGUGGAUUGCUUGAGCUCAGGAGUUUGAGACCAGCCUAGCCAACAUGGUGAAACCCAUUCCUCUAAAAAAAAUGCAAAAAAUUAGCCAGGCAGGGUGGUGCGGGCCUGUAGUUCCAGCUACUUGGGUCAGGGAGGUGGGGUGGGGUAAAAAGGCAAGAGGAUCACUUGAACCCAGGAGGCUGAGGCUGUAGUGAGUUGAGAUCAUGCCAGUG